UCGAACGAGUUCUGAUUAUUGAAAGGUCGCUUGCAUCUUGAUUUAAUUUUGAACGAGUGGCGGACGGGUGAGUAACACGUGGGUAACCUGCCCUUAAGUGGGGGAUAACAUUUGGAAACAGAUGCUAAUACCGCAUAAAUCCAAGAACCGCAUGGUUCUUGGCUGAAAGAUGGCGUAAGCUAUCGCUUUUGGAUGGACCCGCGGCGUAUUAGCUAGUUGGUGAGGUAACGGCUCACCAAGGCAAUGAUACGUAGCCGAACUGAGAGGUUGAUCGGCCACAUUGGGACUGAGACACGGCCCAAACUCCUACGGGAGGCAGCAGUAGGGAAUCUUCCACAAUGGACGCAAGUCUGAUGGAGCAACGCCGCGUGAGUGAAGAAGGCUUUCGGGUCGUAAAACUCUGUUGUUGGAGAAGAAUGGUCGGCAGAGUAACUGUUGUCGGCGUGACGGUAUCCAACCAGAAAGCCACGGCUAACUACGUGCCAGCAGCCGCGGUAAUACGUAGGUGGCAAGCGUUAUCCGGAUUUAUUGGGCGUAAAGCGAGCGCAGGCGGUUUUUUAAGUCUGAUGUGAAAGCCCUCGGCUUAACCGAGGAAGUGCAUCGGAAACUGGGAAACUUGAGUGCAGAAGAGGACAGUGGAACUCCAUGUGUAGCGGUGAAAUGCGUAGAUAUAUGGAAGAACACCAGUGGCGAAGGCGGCUGUCUGGUCCGUAACUGACGCUGAGGCUCGAAAGCAUGGGGAGCAAACAGGAUUAGAUACCCUGGUAGUCCACGCCGUAAACGAUGAAUGCUAAGUGUUGGAGGGUUUCCGCCCUUCAGUGCCGCAGCUAACGCAUUAAGCACUCAGGUCUUGGAUUCAGUUGGGCACUCUAGCAAGACUGCCGGUUAUGACCUGGGCUACACACGUGCU
rnacentral:rRNA from 2 species